ensembl:miRNA
GAAAUGCCUCCAUGAGAUCCAAUUGUAAGGCAUUUUCUCAAUUAGUGAUCAAUCAGGGAUUAGUGACCAUGGUGGGUGGGGCCACCCCUGGGCUGGUGCUCCUG